rnacentral:rRNA from 1 species
AACGAACGCUGGCGGCAGGCUUAACACAUGCAAGUCGAACGCCCCGCAAGGGGAGUGGCAGACGGGUGAGUAACGCGUGGGAACAUACCCUUUUCUACGGAAUAGCUCUGGGAAACUGGAAUUAAUACCGUAUACGCCCUACGGGGGAAAGAUUUAUCGGGGAAGGAUUGGCCCGCGUUGGAUUAGCUAGUUGGUGGGGUAAAGGCCUACCAAGGCGACGAUCCAUAGCUGGUCUGAGAGGAUGAUCAGCCACAUUGGGACUGAGACACGGCCCAAACUCCUAGGGGAGGCAGGAGUGGGGAAAAUUGGAAAAUGGGCGAAAGCCUGAUCCGCCCAUGCCGGGUGAGUGAUGAAGGCCUUAGGGUUGAAAAGCUCUUUCACCGAUGAAGAUAAUGACGGUAGUCGGAGAGAAAGCCCCGGCUAACUUCGU